UCUUUGUUAGUAUAUCGGUUAGUACACGCGCUUGUCAUGCACUGGCCGCGCGAAAGCGGGGUUCGACUCCCCGACAGAGAG
rnacentral:tRNA from 1 species